rnacentral:rRNA from 1 species
AUUGAACGCUGGCGGCAUGCCUUACACAUGCAAGUCGAACGGCAGCACGGGAGCAAUCCUGGUGGCGAGUGGCGAACGGGUGAGUAAUAUAUCGGAACGUGCCCAGUCGUGGGGGAUAACGUAGCGAAAGCUACGCUAAUACCGCAUACGAUCUACGGAUGAACGCGGGGGAUCGCAAGACCUCGCGCGAUUGGAGCAGCCGAUAUCAGAUUAGGUAGUUGGUGGGGUAAAGGCUCACCAAGCCGACGAUCUGUAGCUGGUCUGAGAGGACGACCAGCCACACUGGGACUGAGACACGGCCCAGACUCCUACGGGAGGCAGCAGUGGGGAAUUUUGGACAAUGGGCGCAAGCCUGAUCCAGCAAUGCCGCGUGCAGGAUGAAGGCCUUCGGGUUGUAAACUGCUUUUGUGCGGAACGAAACGGUGAGCUCUAAUACAGUUUGCUAAUGACGGUACCGUAAGAAUAAGCACCGGCUAACUACGUGCCAGCCGCCGCGGUAA